AAGUCGAACGGCAGCACGGACUUCGGUCUGGUGGCGAGUGGCGAACGGGUGAGUAAUGUAUCGGAACGUGCCCAGUAGCGGGGGAUAACUACGCGAAAGCGUAGCUAAUACCGCAUACGCCCUACGGGGGAAAGCAGGGGAUCGCAAGACCUUGCACUAUUGGAGCGGCCGAUAUCGGAUUAGCUAGUUGGUGGGGUAACGGCUCACCAAGGCGACGAUCCGUAGCUGGUUUGAGAGGACGACCAGCCACACUGGGACUGAGACACGGCCCAGACUCCUACGGGAGGCAGCAGUGGGGAAUUUUGGACAAUGGGGGAAACCCUGAUCCAGCCAUCCCGCGUGUGCGAUGAAGGCCUUCGGGUUGUAAAGCACUUUUGGCAGGAAAGAAACGUCGCGGGUUAAUACCCCGCGAAACUGACGGUACCUGCAGAAUAAGCACCGGCUAACUACGUGCCAGCAGCCGCGGUAAUACGUAGGGUGCAAGCGUUAAUCGGAAUUACUGGGCGUAAAGCGUGCGCAGGCGGUUCGGAAAGAAAGAUGUGAAAUCCCAGAGCUUAACUUUGGAACUGCAUUUUUAACUACCGGGCUAGAGUGUGUCAGAGGGAGGUGGAAUUCCGCGUGUAGCAGUGAAAUGCGUAGAUAUGCGGAGGAACACCGAUGGCGAAGGCAGCCUCCUGGGAUAACACUGACGCUCAUGCAC
rnacentral:rRNA from 1 species